CAGAAACUUCCGGUUACCGUACGAUAUCCGAAGUUAAGCAGCAUCAAGUUUGGUCAGUAUCUAGAUGGGUGAUCGCUUGGGAAUACCAGGUGCUGUAA